rnacentral:misc_RNA from 1 species
GAUGAAGAACGCAGCGAAAUGCGAUAAGUAAUGCGAAUUGCAGAUUUCAGUGAGUCAUCGAAUCUUUGAACGCACAUUGCGCCCGCUGGAACUCCGGCGGGCACGCCUGUCCGAGCGUCAUUUCAACCCUCAGGCCCCCCUUCGCGGGCGGGCCUGGUGUUGGGGCCCGGCCGCUACCCUGCGGCCGUCCCCUAAAUCCAGUGGCGGCCUCGCCGUGAUCCCUUGCGUAGUAAUGCACCUCGCACCGGAGAGCGCCGUGGCCACGCCGUAAAACCCCCAAUUUUCAAUGGUUGACCUCGGAUCAGGUGGGAAUACCCGCUGAACUUAAGCAUAUCAAUAAGCGGAGGA